rnacentral:rRNA from 1 species
UGAAGCGGCAACAGCUCAAAUUUGAAAUCUGGCUCCUUCGGGGUCCGAGUUGUAAUUUGUAGAGGAUGCUUCGGGUGCGGCACCGGUCUAAGUCCCUUGGAACAGGGCGUCACAGAGGGUGAGGAUCCCGUAUGUGACCGGCGACCAAGCCCAUGUGAAGCUCCUUCGACGAGUCGAGUUGUUUGGGAAUGCAGCUCAAAAUGGGUGGUAAAUUUCAUCUAAAGCUAAAUACCGGCCAGAGACCGAUAGCGCACAAGUAGAGUGAUCGAAAGAUGAAAAGCACUUUGGAAAGAGAGUCAAAAAGUACGUGAAAUUGUUGAAAGGGAAGCGCUUGUAACCAGACCUGCCGCCGGGUGCUCCGCGGGCAUUCUUGCCCGUCUACUCACCCGCGAUCAGGCCAGCAUCGGUUUUGGCGGCCGGAUAAAGACUCGAGGAAUGUAGCUUCGCUUCGGGGAAGUGUUAUAGCCUCUUGUGUAAUACGGCCAGCCGGGACCGAGGACCGCGCUUCGGCUAGGAUGCUGGCGUAAUGGUUGCAAGCGACCCGUCUUGAAACACGGACCAAGGAGUCUAACAUCUAUGCGAGUGUUUGGGUGUCAAACCCAUGCGCGGAAUGAAAGUGAACGGAGGUGGGAACCCUCAAGGGCGCACCAUCGACCGAUCCGGAAGUUUACGGAUGGAUUUGAGUAUGAGCAUAGCUGUUGGGACCCGAAAGAUGGUGAACUAUGCCUGAAUAGGGUGAAGCCAGAGGAAACUCUGGUGGAGGCUCGCAGCGGUUCUGACGUGCAAAUCGAUCGUCAAAUUUGGGUAUAGGGGCGAAGUAAGCAUCCUUCCCGAGCUUGGGAAACAACUACUAACAUGAUCUUCACAGAGACUAAUC